rnacentral:rRNA from 1 species
ACAUGAUCUGAGUUCAGACCGGUCGCCUGUUUAUCAAAAACAUCGCCUCUUGUAAUUCACAAAUAAGAGGUCCCGCCUGCCCGGUGACCAUGUGUUCAACGGCCGCGGUAUUUUAACCGUGCAAAGGUAGCGCAAUCACUUGCCCUUUAAAUGAGGACCUGUAUGAACGGCACAACGAGGGCUUAGCUGUCUCCUUUUUCAGGUCAAUGAAAUUGAUCUCCCCGUGCAGAAGCGGGGAUUAAACCAUAAGACGAGAAGACCCUAUGGAGCUUUAGAUAUAAGACAGAUCACGUCAAACACCCUUAAACAAAAGAGCAAACUAAAUGGAGCCUGUCUAAAUGUCUUUGGUUGGGGCGACCGCGGGGCAACAAAAAACCCCCAUGUGGAAUAAAAGUAUUCUUUUAAAAACAAGAGCCACAGCUCUAAUAAACAGAACAUCUGACCAGCCAGAUCCGGCCUAGCCGAUCAACGAACCGAGUUACCCUAGGGAUAACAGCGCAAUCCCCUUUUAGAGCCCAUAUCGACAAGGGGGUUUACGACCUCGAUGUUGGAUCAGGACAUCCUAAUGGUGCAACCGCUAUUAAGGGUUCGUUUGUUCAACGAUUAAAGUCCUACAUGAUCUGAGUUCAGACCGGACAUGAUCUGAGUUCAGACCGG